GACGAACGCUGGCGGCGUGCCUAAUACAUGCAAGUUGAGCGCUGAAGGUUGGUACUUGUACCAACUGGAUGAGCAGCGAACGGGUGAGUAACGCGUGGGGAAUCUGCCUUUGAGCGGGGGACAACAUUUGGAAACGAAUGCUAAUACCGCAUAAAAACUUUAAACACAAGUUUUAAGUUUGAAAGAUGCAAUUGCAUCACUCAAAGAUGAUCCCGCGUUGUAUUAGCUAGUUGGUGAGGUAAAGGCUCACCAAGGCGAUGAUACAUAGCCGACCUGAGAGGGUGAUCGGCCACAUUGGGACUGAGACACGGCCCAAACUCCUACGGGAGGCAGCAGUAGGGAAUCUUCGGCAAUGGACGAAAGUCUGACCGAGCAACGUCGCGUGAGUGAAGAAGGUUGUCGGAUCGUAAAACUCUGUUGGUAGAGAAGAACGUUGGUGAGAGUGGAAAGCUCAUCAAGUGACGGUAACUACCCAGAAAGGGACGGCUAACUACGUG
rnacentral:rRNA from 1 species